UACAGAGGGUGCGAGCGUUAAUCGGAUUUACUGGGCGUAAAGCGUGCGUAGGCGGCUGAUUAAGUCGGAUGUGAAAUCCCUGAGCUUAACUUAGGAAUUGCAUUCGAUACUGGGAAGCUAGAGUAUGGGAGAGGAUGGUAGAAUUCCAGGUGUAGCGGUGAAAUGCGUAGAGAUCUGGAGGAAUACCGAUGGCGAAGGCAGCCAUCUGGCCUAAUACUGACGCUGAGGUACGAAAGCAUGGGGAGCAAACAGGAUUAGAUACCCUGGUAGUCCAUGCCGUAAACGGUGUCUACUAGCCGUUGGGGUCUUUGAGACUUUAGUGGCGCAGCUAACGCGAUAAGUAGACCGCCUGGGGAGUACGGUCGCAAGACUAAA
rnacentral:rRNA from 1 species